rnacentral:lncRNA from 1 species
CUUAUGCUGGGCAACCAUUAAUCUGUUCUCCAUAAAAAUUUGUAAUUUUAAAAAUGUUUUAUAAACUGAUUUUUAUGUGAUCUGUAAUGUUUGUGAGGGUAUCUCUGUAUUAGUUUGCUAGGGCUGCCAUAAAAAAAUAGUGGGUAGCUUAAAUAACCGAAAUUUCUUUUCUCACAGUUCUGGAGGCUGGAAGUCCAAGAUCAAGGUGCUAUCAGGGUUGGUUUCGGCUGUGGCCUCUCUUCCUGGCUUGUAGACAGCUAUCUUCUCGCAGUGUCCUCACGUGGCCUCUUUGUGUGAAGUUAAAAAUGAACAGAUCAACCUUUUACUCUUCUCUGAAAAAUAUAGUGAAAUUAAUAAUCAAGAACGAUUUUCUGAAAUGAAAACAUCCGAACAGCAUACUGCAAAGACAUUCAGGGGAAAAUAAAAUAGGUUUUGGCAAACGUCUAAUGACACAGAGCCACCAUUGCCAAUUUCACCACUGUCUUUCACCAAGUUGAUUCAUUUUGAACUGGCUCCAGCAAUCUACUCAGAGUUGACCUCAGAGCAAAAAAUUGAAGUGGGUAAUACAUUAAAUCUUUUCUCUCCUCACUCUCUACCUGAAGUACCCAGUGCCCUCUCAUGGCCACAGGCUCUGCAGUCAUAGAUAGCAUUUUUUCAGGAACAGAAAGAAAAUUGUGAUUCUUAGCAUCCCUCUAUGUCUCUCUUCUCAGGAAAGGUUGCAUUAGAAACUGUUGUCUCGUGAGCUGGCCAUUGAAGCCCGAGGCAUGGACUGUUUACAGCAUUGUUACAGGUAUCUGAAUUAGAAGAUGGCUUGGCCCUUAGAUUUGGAUUUGCAAAGUAUAGCUCUUUAGCAGUGAACAUGCUCUGUUAACUGUCCUGUUAAGAUGGUUAUUUUCUUUUAAUAGGCUUUAAAAACAACUAGAAUCCUAUUUCUUUCAAUAGAGAUUUAUCAGUACCCUAGAUGAAUUCCUACUCACCAAUUUUUCUCUAUAGAUUUGGUCCAUUGUAGGACCUUGGAAGGUUUGUGUUUUUUUUUAACUAUUUACUGUUCAGUUAUCUUUGAAGUUUGUGUUAAAAAUACACGGUUGGUGGGAAUGUAAAUCAGUACAACCGCUAUGGAAAACAAUAUGGUGAUUUCUCAAAAAACUAAAAAUAAAAUUACCAUAUGGACCAUCAAUUCCACUACAGGGUAUUUAUCUAAAGGAAAAGAAAUCAGUAUAUCAAAAAGGUAUGUUCAGCUCCAUGUUUAUCAUAGCACUAUUCACUAUCGCAAAGAUAUGGAAUCAACUUAAGUGUCCACCAAUGGACAAAAGAAUAAAGAGAAUGUGAUACAAAUACACAAUGGAAUACUAUUAAACCUUAAAAAAUAAUAAAAUCCUGUCAUUAGCAGCAGCAUGACUGAAACUGUCAUUAUGUUAAGUGAAAUAAUCCAGGCACAGAAAGGCAAAUAUUGCAUGUUGUUACUCAUAUGUGGGAGCUAAAAACGUGGACUUCAUAAAGGUAGAGAGUAGAAUCAUAGGUAUACCAAAGGCUGGGAAGGCUACAGGGAGGACAGUGAUGAAGACAGAUUGGUUAAUGGGUACAAACACACAGAUAGAUAGAAAGAAUAAUUUCUAAUGUUUGAUAGCUGAGUCGGAUGACUAUAGUUAACAGUAAUAUAUAUUUCAAAAUAGCUAGGAGAGAGGACUUGAAAUGGUUGCAACACGUAGAAAUGAUAAAUACUCAAGGUGACGAACAACCUAAAUACCCUGACUUGAUCAUUACCCAUUUUAUGCAUGUGAGAAAAUAUCACAUGUACCCCACAAAUAAGUAUUAUGUAUCAAUAAAAGGGAUAUAUUAUAAACUCAGAUCACCUGGCAUAGGAUCUACCAAAUAUGUACAAGUUUAGCAAAUACAAAUUUGUCAUGGGCAAAAAAAAAGAGAAUGAAACAAAUCACUUAUUUGCCUAGAAUGAGUAAAAGUAACCCAACAAUAUUAUUGGAAAAAUCUCAUUCCUAAAAGUGAAUCAGGUUUGGCAUUUUUAAUACAAAAACACAACAAAAUUAAAAUUUAACUAAGACCUGAGUUCCACUCCAGGCACCAAAUUAAAGCAAAAUAUGGCACAGAGUAGUCUAUAGACUUCAGCCUUUAAUAAAAAUAAAAUCUUGACCCAGGUGAUAUAAUUUAAAUUAAAUGGCUUUUUAUAAUUUAAUUAUACAACUUAUAUAAGGUUGCACAUCCUUGAGAUGUCAAAAUGUGCCACCUUUUCCGCUAAAAUUUCAGUGAGACAUUAAGAAUUGUGUUAAAAAAAAAAAAAAAAGCCUGCCUUCUAGAGUAAGCUGUACAUUUUUUGAAGGGUGCUGUUUAAGAAAAAUGUCUAAUUUUUUUCAUCUGGUUAAUCAAACAGUGGGAAGUGUUGUCAUGGAUAAUUGGGCUACUGAGUUUAUCAUUAUAAUUUGACAUUUACAUAGGUCUUUAUACUUUCAAAAUGUUAUGCAACCAUUUUUCUUGAUUCCAUCAAUAUUACCUUGAGAGGUAAAUUAAUUCUUCAAUUUACAUUUUACAAAUGAGCACAAAGAAGGAAGGUGGGAUGAAACAAGUCAGAUGCAAAACUAAGAUAAGAGCUUCUUGUCCUGGCAGGCCUAAGCCACUAUUUUUUAUCCCUUGAGGAAGCCUAAGCCUUUCUGUUUGAAAUUUUUCAAAGAGAAUUAAGCUGUCAAACACACGUUAACAACCAAGGCCUCUCAUUUUCUAGCCCAGGUGGUCCAAUUACAGAUUUAGCCUAAAGUAGAAUCAGAUAUAAAAUAAUAUGGCAAGUCAUGGUUGCUACAGUCUUAACUAUCUUUUAUUUUAAAACAGACUUCAAAGAUUAAAAAUAACAUGUCUUUACUCAUGGGUAAAUUUUUCUUUCCAACUCUUCCUCCUCAGUCUUUUUCUGCUUUCUCUAGAACAAUAUUACCACUCUGCAGGGUCUAUUUGCAACAAUCCAGGAAGUUCUCUGGGUCUGCCCCAAUGUUACAGAGAAGAAAUGAUGACCAUAAAAAUAGCACAUAAACAUGGGAAUUAAUAGGGUCAGUAUUUGACAUAUGAUUGAAAAACUUAAUCAGAGGACAGAAUUCACACAUUUCAGCCUAAGUGUCUUUAUGUAUAUGUCAUCUUCUUCCUUUGAUUGCUUGGCUUCAAACCACCCCAUCACCAUCACCCUCUGCUCAUGAUGAAUGCCUACAGACAGAGCUAACACAUGAGGUGGCAGUGUUCUCCCCGUUGAUAAUAGGGGCUGAAAGAAGCCAGUUCAACUCAGGAUGUAAGGAUGCCACUCAAAGUACUAAAUGUUCAUUUAUACAGUCCAUCUGAAUGAUGGAUUUUCAGCAUUGAAGGGAUCCUAAAAGAAUUCAGAUAUUUAAAAUGGAAUAUUGAAUUUUUUGGAGCUUCAGUAGGGCUAAUGUAACUUUUUUUUAAAGGAUAAGAUGUAUUGCAAAACAUCUAGACUCAAAUGAUCUGGAUCAAAUCACAACUCCACAAAAUUAAAUUGGGUUAAUUUAUAAUUAGGCUUUAUGGCAAUAACACGCUAGCUGGAUAACUUGAAAAUAAAUAAAAAGAGCAAACUCAAUCCUUCUGUAAAUACUGUUACUCUUGGUAAAUGGCAUUUUAUGUUAAGAGCUCAGAGUGUUAACAGUGGUGUCAAGAAUAGGUCAAAUUAUUAAAGAAAAGUUAAUUUCUCAUUCUUGGAGAGGCGUACCUUCCUCCAAGUGCAGAAUUAGAAACUUCAUCAAUCUAAAAUAAACGGACUUACAAAUAUUGUUUAUGUGCUUGGAAUGGCACCAAAGUAGUUAAGUAAAAUGUAAUUUGAAAUUUGGCAGUACAUAUAUAAGUAAGUAUGUGGAUGAGUGUAUACGUGUGCACUCUCAGAGUUAGCUCUUUUAAAAUUAAUUUUAUUGUUGAAGUUGUAUAUUGAUCCUCAAGUUGGAAGACAAAUAAAUACACAAACAAAAAGAUGUAAUAGGGCAUAAAAUUUGAAAUUAACACUUUUGUAUUUAUUGAGUUUAUUCUCAAUGUCUCUGGAAAAAAAUAAUUAUGAGUGUUAUAUUGACACUGUAGGUAUUCUAUAUAUAUUUGUGAAAUAAAUUAUACAUGUAUAUAUCAAAUGUGCUUAUAUAUUUAAAUGGAAUUUAUUAAAUUUCAUCUUCAAUGAAUAUAUUUUUUAUAAUUAAUUAUGAAACAUUGUUCUAAACAGCAAAGUCCCAGAUGCCAAACCUACAUUGUUAUUCAUUCUGCAUCCGUCUACUAAUUCACACCUGGCAUUCUAGUUUCAAAAUCUUCUCUUACCAUUUUUGUUGAGAAUUAUAAAAACAAUUUUAAAAGGAUAAUAUUCAUUCUGAUAUAUAACUUCUGUAAUUUUAUUAUUUCUAUCUUAAGGAUCACAUGGAUUUUGUUUUACAAUUGAACUCCCCCUUCCUAUUAAAAUAAAGAAACAAAAACAACGCUUUUCAGCACUCUUAGCACACUUUCUUGCUCACUAAAUUGACUAAUUAGAAAGUGUUGUAUCCCAUCUAUUCCUAAAAUUUUGACAUUAAUAAAUUAUCCAUAACUUGUGUUUUGAAUGGCAAAGUUGUAUUCAAAAGUAGAAAGACAGUCAGUAUGCCAAGUCAGGUAAUGAAGGUUGUAUUUUAUGGAGGCAGGACUCUGAUUUUUACUAGCCUUUUCUAAGUACAUUAACAUUGUAAGCUGUAUUUUUUAAAACAUCUGUAAAUUAUAAAAGUGUUGCUAUAAGAGUGUGUGUCUAUAGUUGUAUGCCUAAAAGGCUGGAGAACAUACUGGUGAAUACCAUCUCUGUAGAAAGGCCAAAAGGAUGCCCUUGAAAUUCAUUUUAACUCCUUCAAAAUGACCUGAACCACAAGUCAGGAAUGAAAAUCAAUGCCUAUUUACUUUCUAUGCACCAAGUAUUAUGAAAUUACAAAAGCAAUAUAAAAUGGCUGCCAGUUUGUCAUUUUCUUUUUUAAAAAAUCUUAUCACUGUUUGAAACUACUUACAUAAUAUAUCAAAGAAACAAAAUAAGAGUAAUUAUACAAACAUUUAAAAUUAAGUGUUCCUAAAGGUGAAUAUUGAUGCACAGAAAUUGGCAUGUUUACAAAUGAAUUCUACCACAAAUUCUACCAGCUCUCUUUAGUGUUUUCCCUCACACCAUACCCCAAUACGAUGAUUCUAGUUCCAGAUCCCAGCUACCUUAUAAAUCAUGUCUGAACAUAAGAAAAGGAUGAAAUCUCCUAUACUCCUUUAAUUUCUCCCCAAGUAGACCUUAUUAUAUCCGGCCCUUCUUUAAGCUCAAAAUAACAUUGCUGAUACAACUAAUGAUGUUGCAUUGUUCAUCUCAAAAGAUUCUCUUUGCCUCAGUGUCUUUAAUGAUAUAAUAAAAAUAACAUUUAAGACAUAAAAGCCCAUAAUCAUAGAAAGAAUCAUAAAUAACCUUAGAGAUUACUAAGUCUAGAGUGGCAGUUCUCAAUCAAUUUUUUUUCAUUAUCACCUUCCAAGGAGAAUUUUCAAGCGUUGUUAUCCUAGUCAACCCUUCCCUCAUGAAAUUUAAAUAUCACAACUACACUCUAUAUCUGUUUAUCUACUCUCUAUAUAUCUAAUCUAUGUGCUUUAUACAUUAAAUGUGUAGGGGCUUUUUUGGUUCCCCUCAGAAAAAAUUUAUGCCACAUUGGGAUAAUAUCAUCUUUGUGGUGAAUGUGUUUUUCAGUUAAGGAAACAUGGCUGAAAUAGAGCUAGUAAAAUAAUAAGAUACAUCUAUCACAAUGGUAUUAGUCAAUUACAGUGGGGCAAGAGUUGUCCCAACUACCUUUGACAAUCACCAGUGAGAUAUUGAAUAUUUUAUUGCUAGAAGUGAAUCUGAGGAAGCAAUGAUACCACUAUUAAGUAUAAUUUUUUCCUCCUGGUCUUUUUUUUGUUAUUUCUCUUCUGUUGAUUAUGUGGAUACCACUCCAUUUUUAUACUAAUAAUUCUAAAAGUACAUGUUACUUCUUUCUCAAAUCAUUUAUGACUUCUACUUUUUCCAUUCAACUUUUCUGUUUAUCGCACUAUUUCACAGCAUCUUCUACCAAUAACAAAGCAGCUUAAGGAUACAGUGUGUAAGAAUAUAUGCACACAUGCAUAACACAUAUAUAAUACAUAUGUAAACACAUGCAAACCUAUUAUUCAAAAGUGGAGAAAAGGCUAAAUAUUGUAGUACACAUUCUUCACUGCUAAUGACCAGAGGCCAACAUGUGAUAUGACAGAUCGUAGAGGUUGUUCAUGAUGACAUUUAAACAUUCCAGUUUUUCAUCUGAUCAUGACAAAUUUCUGACUAAUGUAGUUCCUUUUAGUGAAGCUUAAGUCAUAGUGUGGAACCAAACCAUUUAAUAUAACAAUAUUUGACAACGUAAUAGUGAGAGGUUCAGAAGCACAAUCAAUAAAAAUAGAUCCUAGGCCACAGCAAAAGGCAAUCAAAUACUGUCAAAAGAAGGUAGCUGACUCAGCUCCUAAUUAAUCAAAUGAAUCACUUAAACCCCAUGGAAAUAAUGGCAAAAAAGAAUCUCAGAAAUUCUGCACUAGCUGAAGUAUUUUUUUUCUUUUUUUUUUGAUGUCUGUUGGUCUUUUUUGUUCCCAAAAAGGACAAUCCUGGCAGGACUUAAAUUUCAUGAUUAGGUUUGUAUCACAGAGGUUUUUUUGUAGUUUUAUGAAAGGAAUGUGGAGACAGAAUCUGGGUCCUUGCCCUAGCUUUGAUCAUUACUGGUUCUCUUUUUCUUGGAAAGUUCCUGAACCUCUCUGAUUCACUCUUGCAUUAUGCAUAGGUUAUUGUGAGGUCAAAUAAGAUAAUGAAUAUGAGUUAUAAAAGCUGCUAGGUUUCAUAGGAAGUCCUAUUUUAUCAUCAUUGCUAUCUUCCUAGGAAGGUAGGAAGUGACUACCUUCCUAUUAUUUCCUAUUUCAAAUACAUAUCAAGCAAGAUUUUGUUUUGCAUUUAGUUUCAAUGGGACAGUAGUAAACUAUAAACAAAAUAUCAUUCCAGGAACAUUACCUUAAUGUCUUGAUGACAUUGAUGUCCAAAAGUUACCGACAGUGAACAGUGAGUUCCAUGAAAAGAAUUCUGAGUGUUGAUCACAUUCAUGUUCACUAACAUAGUUGUCAGGCUUUCCCCCAUAUAUCCCAGGCUUCACUUUCUCAGUUUUUCUUCUACUGAAUAAUCAUUAUGUGUGUCACAUGGUUCUAAACACUGAACCAGGUGGUAGUAAUGAAGAACUGACCAUCAGGGACUCAAGUUGGAGAAAAUACUGCAGAUAGUGGAAUAGAGGCUCAAGUGUAAUUCCUACUCCCGUCCCUUUAAAAAAAAAAUGAGAGAGAGAGAGAGAGAAAAACUGUCCCUUACAUUAUUUUGGCCAGAACUAGUGAUCACAACACCCCUUUUAAAUUUCCUUAGUGCUCAGAUCACAUUCUACCUUAUGUUAUAGCUCUUUGUGGGUGCAUUAUACGUCUAUUAUCACUCUCCCCAAUAGAUUGGAAGCUCCUAAAGAUUAGUGAUUACAUGUUAGUCAUUUUCCUAUCCUGAAAAUAACAGGAAGUAUUGUAGCAUAUAAUACACACUGACAAAUGUUUGCUAAGUUAAAAUGAACAGAGAGGACACAAUUUGAGCUUAAAAUUUGCACUUUUUAAAACGUUAUAAUUUGCGAUCAUGACAUUCUUUCUAUAUUAUAGUGUAUAUUUAAAAUUCCCUUAUGUACUAGUUUAAAAUAUAAUCUGAAUAUGAGAGGGAGAGGAAGAGGGAGAGAGGGAAAGAGAGAAGAUAGAGGACUCUGAAAUAUGGUUCUAAUGAAAAAGGGAAGAAAACAGUAAAUUAUUAGAAAGCCCCAUUAGAAUUUAUCAUGGUAAAUUCUACUCCUAACCUUUACCUCAGCCUCUCAUUUGUAACACUAUUGAUCUUCUGAGCAGUUUGUUUUAAAGCAUGUUUCUGAAGGUUAAAUUGGACUGAACAAGUGAAUUUCUGCCUUUUAAGAUGACAAACUACAUACCUGCUCCUUGAGGAGAGAGUUAAGAGAGAGCUAAUACAAAUUUCAACACAAUUAUUAUCUGACUUGCCUUUUAGCUGACCAAGACUCUGCCUCAUCCAAAUUAGGUUCAAUGUUAGUCUUGCUUUUGAUUGUGAAAUUAUUUCCUAUUUUCUUAAUUGUUCCAAUUUAUUAAUUGCUAGUCAGCAAAAGACUUCCAUGUAACCAAAUGUGUGUGUUUCACGUGGAGGAGCUAGAGGUGAGACAGGCUUGAGCCUCUGAUAGCAGUGCUCUUCACUAGUCUUUUCUAGUCAUGAGCUCCAAAUCAAUAGACUGAAGAGCUGUUUCUAGUGACCCAGAUCAGAAGUGAAAGUUGGAGCUUCUUUUGGCUGAGAGUGCCCGACAGUAAUUCAUGCAUUGUAAACACAGUCUGUCGAGUUGUCCCAUGCCUCAGCAGUUUACAGGGAGUACAGAUUAUUAAAAUAGAGUUGGGGCUCGGUUUUUGCUUAUGCUUCUGUCAUGGUCUGUUGCUAUUGAUUUUUUAGGAGGCACAGACUCUGUGUCUGUCCACCCAAGGGAUACUUUUGGUGCAUGGUUGAGCUCUAUGAAAAAAUGAUCUUAUUUGUUUAUGCCAGUUUUUCUCUAAAGUAUGUUUUAUAUUUUUGCUUGAUGUCCAAUAAAUUUGUUGUUAUGCACUCAUUUUUACAUGUAUUAAAAAUAUAUAACCAGCACAUCAGAACCACAGUUUGUUAUAUCUCAUUUCUCAAAAUAAAGCAAAUAAUAUUUAGAAAUAUAAGAGUUGUGCCAGUGAUGUAAGUAUUAUAAAUUCGGGAAAACACUGCUUUAUACCCAAACUUGAUGCCUUACAAACAGGAAGUAGGUAAGCCACCUAGAUUGAGUAGUUAUUUCAUUUAGUCCUGUCAUUCCACUUUCUGAUAUAACAAGGCAAAGUAUUAUAGGUAAGUAUGAUCAAGAUAAAUAUGUAUAAAAUCUUCAAAAUGAAAAUUUUUAGAAUAUUAAUCAGCUCAAGUGACCUGUGGAUUUAGAUUCAGCAAAAGUCAAAUCAUUUCCCCUAAAGCAUAACUGCAUGCAGUAAAAAAAAAAAAAAAAAAAAAAAAAAAGGAUACAACAUAAUUAACCUAUAUACAAUUUUAAGUUUUGUUCCUAGGCAUCAGCAGCAUAAAGAAGCACAAAUAAUCUUACUCUGGUUUAUCAAAAAUGGAAACAAAUUUCCAGGAGGUAUUUUUCUGAAUCCGACUCAAAUGAGUGGAUAUGUUGCUGAACAAGUAGCUAUAUUUUAAUUUAAUUCCUGACACCGAUUUCCAAAGAAAAGAGGGCAAGAGCUCAUUGCCCUACUUUGGGUCUCUUCCCAUGGCUUUCCACUGCCCUGAGAAUAAAGCUGACUGCCACACCAUAGAAUAGAGAGCUCAUCAUGAUCUAACUCCUACCUAAUGUGUCAGGUUCAUUCUUCCCAUCUUCUUUAUUUGCUAGGAUUCACACACCUGAAGUUUUUGUGAUUCUGGACUAAAUUCCUUCUUUUUGUAGAAACUUUUUGCAUAUUCUGUUUGUCAGUAACACUCUUUCCCAAUCUCUUUACAUAUCUAUUACCUUCUCACUUUAAGGUAUCUGCCUAAAUCCAUCUUCUCAAAGAGCCUUCUCUAACCAUGCUGUUUUUAAGCAGAUAGCUUCACUCUGUCUCAUACUUUCUCUCUGCUUUUCAUUUAUUUCUUUCACAAGAAAUAGUAAUUGACUAUUAAUUUCUUUUGUUAUGUGUGUGUAUACGUGUGUUUCAGUCUCUUUUUUCCUUGAAUAGAAAGUUGAUUAGGACAAGGACUACUAUCUUAUUCACCAAUUUUUCCCUUAGCAUCCUGCAUAGAGCCUGCACACAGUUUAAGUCUUAUUAAAUAUUUUUGAACAGCUUAAUGAAAGUAUAUCUUACUGGUGAUUUCAUUUUAAUUAUUUUGAAGACUCAAAUCAUCCUAGGUUUUUUGAAUAAAUUCCAUUUUCAUCACAGUAUUAAAAACAUAAAAUAGGACAAAUUAGACUUUAUCUUUUUAAAAUUGUUCCUACAAAACUAAACUCAAGGCAUGAUUUUCAGCUCUCGGGUUCUGCAACCUCAGCUUUGCAUUGGGAAGGUAUGAUGAAUCUCUCUCUUAAACACAAAGUCAUACCAAUUUAAAACCCUAAACUCAGGGGUGUCAGGAGCCAUCCUGCUCUUUAUAGUCUUAACAGUACAGUUUUUCUUUCUGCAAUGUGUUUUUUGAUAAAUUAUCCAACUAGUAACUAACCAGUCCUUUCAUCAGUUUUCUUUGUUGAAAUCUAUUUUUCUCUUUGACAUUUAAGUUUUUCUAUCUUCCUCGUGUCAUUUUUCCAUCUAUCAUUUUCUCUUUCAUUUUCCUCAAGAAAUGAGUCAGUUGGAGAGUAUUUUUUACCCUUGUCUUCUAUCAGAUGUGAAGGAAAACCUGUUUAUUGACUUAUUUGUUUCAUUUCCAAUUAUGUGUUUUCAAUUACAAAGCGUAACUUUUAAAUGAAAAUAUUUUCUUUCUUCACAAAGCCAUAUCAUUCCAACUAUCUUCUUUUUAUAAACUAAUUGGUUAAUCAAUUCAACAAGAAUUUUUUCAACACCUACAACAUGAUUGAUAUUGUCUAGGCUCUGGGGAACAGCAGGAAAUAAAAUAUUAAGUCCCUGCUUGAAUAGACUUCCAGCGGGGCAGGAACCUGCUGAUUAAAACAUAUGUUCCUGUGCAUGCAUACAUGUGUAAAUACACACCCACACACCCCCACACACAUACACACACUUGUCUUACCUGCUGAAAUGUGGAGAGUCUAUAGAAGGGAAAGGAGAGAAUACAAAUUGGGAGACAAUCCCGCAGUACUUGCCACAACAUUUUUACUGCAUUGUAUUAACUUUACCCAGGAAAUGAAAAAAAUGUAAAACUUCUCAAAUAAUUAAUAAUAUACUAUGUAAUCUCUAGGUUGCAGGAACACAUAAUCCAGUUGGGUAGAAGAGCCAAACAGUAAAGCUAGAUUUCCUCACCUCUCUCUCCAACUUCAAUUUCAACUAGUAUAUGGACUUCAUGCUCCAAGCAUUGACAUUUUUCUGAAGAUAUCAUGUCAUUUCACCAUCUCAUGUUUUUGCAAAUGCUGUUCCAACUUCAUAACGUUCCAUUUCCACAUUUCUAUCUGCAAAAUUUUCUUCAUCCCUCAAGACCAAAGUAAAGUGAUAAUACCUAAUACAGACCUUGGUUCACAAAGAUACUCAAUAAAUGGUGCUGAAUGAAUGAGUUUAGAAACAAAGAUAAAGCUGAUAUGAUUCUACAUCAAUGAUGCAAAUGCAUAAAUCCUGGUAGGUUCAAAGUGAGAGAGAGGGCUCAGAAUCAGCAAUCAUGAUGGAGAGGUACCAUUAUUAAAAAUUGAACAAAGUUUUUUUGAGUGGCAGAAAGAGAAUGAAAGCUAUUUUAAAGGAAUAACACAAACAAUUUGGAAGCAUAUGACAUAUUUAUUUCCUUCAUACUUAAUAUUUGUAUUCUGCCUAACACUCAUGAUUACAUUACAAUAAAAAAUUUUCAUUUGUACUGAAAUGUCAUUUAUGCCACUAUGAUAUAUUUAUUAAGAAAUGAUCUGAUGCAUAAGGUUGGUGACCUUUGUUUGCUCGAAGAAAAAACAUUUGUUUCCUUCACAAUUAAGUGGAUUUUCCAGAUCAAAGUCUCCUGAUACAUUGUUGAUAAGUUCAUUUCUAACUCUGUUAACAUUUAACACCCAUCCUGGAUAUUUAUAAAACAAAAAUAAAUUUAAAAUAUUAAUAUUUUACAUUAACAACAAAGUCCAUUUGGAAUAAACUUGUCUCCCAAGACCAUUAGUCUAAAAUGUUGAGGAUGUCAAUAUUUACAUAGCAUACUAACAAUGACAUGAAUAAUUUAGAACAGAAAUAAUAAAGUCAAAAAGUUACCUGAGUCAUGUCAAGGUAAAAGUUUAUGAAAAUGAGACAAAUUGAUAACUGCAUUGGAUUGAUGUGUUCUACAGUUCAGAAAACAUUCCUUUAUUAAUAAAGUUCAUUUUUUCUAUUCCAAACAUUCUCUGCAUAGCUUUGUGAUAGUUCCAUAUUUUCCACUAAUGUGGAAAAUGCCAGUCCAAGCCAGAGAUUUCUUGCUGUAAGGUUAGGAGACCUAAUCUUAGCCUUGGGAUUGCCUCUGCCUGUAACUCCCUUACUGGAAGACUGAACAUAUUAGUGGGUCUGCUGAGCUUCUGCUUCAUCCUCUACAAUGUGAGGAGAGUACGGAGGGGAGUCAUGAUCUCUAGAGUCAGCUUGUGCAGCUCAGGAAUUCUGUGAGUCUGUGAGUACUUUCACAAGCUCCUCUGGGUACCUAGGAGAGGAUUCCCUUUUUGGAGGAAUUUCUCUAAGGCUUGGUCAAGAGUGAAUCUCCAGGCCUUGGACUGGUUACCUAAAUCUCAGGUCAGCAAAUCAUUCAAUGAUAAUUUUUAUAAAAAGGUAAUAUCAUGACUCACACAAAUAUAAAAUGAUCUCUUGCAAAAUAUUUUGUUUAACUGAUUAACUACUGAGGGAUCCAGUAAGAUACUGAUCUCACAUCCAUAGGUCAAUCAGAAUUCUGAAAUGUAUUUAUUUUAAAAAGCAAAACUCUAGGGAAAAAAAACACAUAAACUAGAGAAUAUAUUUGCAGCACAUUUUAUGAAUAAAGGGCUGGUUUUCUUGAUAUAUAAAUAUCAAUAACUAACAAAAGAACUAAAGAACUAAGAAUGUAAGAGCCCUAGAAAUGACUGAAACCUCUGAUCUCUUCCAUAUGGAGUAUCACAUUAACCAAGGACAAUUAAAGGUAUUUCUAAAAGUACAGAACAUAGGAGGCAAGUUUCAUAUAAAGCUAUCCAUAUAAACCUAUUUCACAUAAAGACAACAAAAAAUGAGAAUCAAAAACAUUUCAGCUGAUGAAAACUCUCUGACUUUACCUGCUAGGGUCUGAAUAUUUUUGUCCCCCGCCAUUCAUAUGUUAAACUUAAUCCGCAAUGUAAUAGUGUUAAGGAGUGGAGCCUUUGGGAGGUAAUUGGCCAUAAGGACUAUAUCUUUUUAUAAAAAGAGGUCUGAGUGAGUUUAUUCACCCCUUCCAACAUGUGAGGACACAAAGAAGGAGCCAUCUAUGACAAAAUGGGCCCACACUAGACACCAAAUAUGCUAGUGUCUUGAGUUUGGACUUCCAAACCUCAAAUAAAUAAAUAAAAUUAAAAAAAUAAAAAGCAAAACUCUCUUUUCAUGAAGUAAUAAUUGCAUUUCAUCAAAUGAGUUUCAUUUGCAUUUCUACAGAUGAGAAUUAUUUGCAUUUUUAUGUUUUCUACAAUGUACAGUUGUAAAACAGAUCAAAAGCACUGAAAGGCGGAUAUAAUGCAGAGGAACACAUAAGAUAUAAAACUUAGUAAUAUUUUACUAGUAUUGUUUACAGGCUUUCACAAUUUUUCUCGACAGAGUUUGUUCAACUUAAUUAGAAAACAUUAUCCUUUUUCUCCUAAGUUAUUUAAUAACCUUGCAACAUUUAAGACAUCUAUUUCCUAACAAUAUAAAUAUCAUUGAAAGUUUUAAAUUUGGAGAUAUAAGGACUUUCAUUUCAUUUUUAAAAAGUUGUGUUUAUUUUAGACGGAAUCUUUUGUUCAAACAAAAUGUCAAUCACAGAAAGGUAGAGGUGACCUGGUUAAAGUUGGAGGUUUGAAGAAUCAGUAUCAGAGUCUCCUCAAGCUCUUUCCUUAUUCCUGAGGUGGCUCCUACGUUUUAAAAAUUAUGUAAGUAAAGUUUUGUCUCAUUUUGGAGUGAGACAGACAUUAAUUCAACCCCAUUCUACUUAAUUGUUAUACAAUCUUUGGCCAUGUGUUUUGACUAACUUCUGUUUAGGAUGUUAAGAGAAUCAUAAUAAUUGUGUCUUAAUGUUGCUGUAAGAACAUUAAGGUAUUAGGUAUUAGAUAUAAAUAUAGAUACAGAUAGAUACAUCCAAAAGGUGGAAACAACCCAAAUGUCCAUCCACAGAUGAAAGGAUAAACAAAAUGUGGUGUAUAUAUAUUAUGAAAUAUUAUUCAUCUCCUUAAAAAUAAAUGAAAUUCCUCUCCAUGCAUGGCACAGAUCAAUCUUGAAAGUAUUAAGCUGGCCAGGUGCCGUGGCUCAUGCCUAUAAUCCCAGCACUUUGGGAGGCCGAGGCAGGUGGAUCACGAUGUCAGGAGAUCGAGACCAUCCUGGCUAACACGAUGAAACCCCAUCUCUACCAAAAAAAUACAAAAAAUUAGCCAGGCCUGGUGGCGGGUGCCUGUAGUCCCAGCUACUCAGGAGGCUGAGGCAGGAGAAUGGCAUGAACCCGGGAAGUGGAGCUUGCAGUGAGCCAAGAUCAUACCACUGUACUCCAGCCUGGGUGACAGAGAGAGACUCCAUCUCAAAAAAAAAAAAAAAAAGUAUUAUGCUAAGUGAAAUAAGCUAGAUACAAAAGGACAAAUAUUGUAUCGUUCUGCUUAUAUGAUAAAUAUAAAACAGGCAAAUUCAUAGAGACAGAAAGCAGAAGGCCUGACGGGAGGGAAAAUGGGGAGUUAUUGUUUAAUGGGCACAGAGUUUCUGUUUGGGAUGAUAAAAAAGUUCUGGAAAUGGAUACUGUGGGAUGGUAGCACAUCAUUAAUGUACUAAAUGCCACUGACAUGUACAUUUAAAAAUAGUUAAAAUGGUAAGUUUUAUGUAUUAUUUCACCACAAUAGAAACAAACACAAAAAAAUGUGCUAUAGUGUCUAAUCCUUACUCAUAAUAAGGAGUAUAUAAAAGUUAUCUCAUCAUUAUGAUUGGUAUUUUAUUUUACUUCUUUAAUAUUUCAUUUUACUUACUACUAACAAUAAAUUCACACUGCUAGUUAGUUAUGAAACUAAAUCUCUCCUUGUAUCUAGAUUUUCUGGCUCCUAAUCUGAUACUCUUAAUGAGAUCUCAUAUAUUUAACUUUUUUUAGAGAUCUCUUCUCUCUCAGAUGCUUGGGCACAUGACUUUAUUCUAGCAAUUCCUUACCUGGUAUGCUUCCAACAAAUCACAAUUAGUAAUGUAAUUUUAAAAUAACAAUUACAAUUUUUUGCACACAUUGAUAACUAAUUUUUUGGUGAUUACCAAGUGUCUAUAGGAGUGUCUCAGUCAGGGUACUUAUCUAAUAAUUAUUUUUUAAAUGAAUAAACAUAUGUAAAAUGUGAACACAUAAAUUCAUCUCUCUUCCUUCCUGUAGUCCCAUUGAAAUGACAUUAUAUAAACAGACAAAUCAUAAACCCACGAACUAUUGGAAGGAAAAACAUAAAAGAAUAAGAUGCCAACAAAAUUUUUUAAACUGGACACCUGGCAAUAGAUUUAGGUGAGUCAGAAAAGACUAAAGCCUGUCUUGUAAAGGAGGAAGUAGAGUCUUGCCACACUGAAAAAUCCCAAAAGGCUCAGGAAGUGGAAACAUCAGAUACCUCUAAAGACCAAGGGCCAAAGGGGAGCUGAAAACACGAGAUAAAUGUCUUUUAAAAAGAACAAUUAGAUGUACAGAUUUCAAACUAGGCAAACAAUGGACUCACCAACUCACAACAAGGCAAAAUAUGGUUAGUUAGCUUUCUGGAGUCUUAAGUCAGGGAAGAAACAGAACUUAGACUAUUCAUAGCUAUAGGUAGGGUAAUAAGCCAUACUGAGCAGAAAGUUUAGGAAUAAGGCUGCUUUCCAGUCUGUUUGCACAGAACUGUUUUUCAUCAUUUUGGAACCUCACAAUUAUAGGAAGUAGGCAAAGAACACCAGUUAUAUGAGGAAUGACCCUUACAUGAAAGUCUGAGAGGAAAACAAACAAACGAAAAACAGAGAAAACAUAAAACGCAGAAAGACAGAGAAUGUUUAAGAAGAAACUAUGAUUCUCAAAGAGACAAGAGAGGUAUUGUGAUUACAAUAUAAGAACACAGGUAAGAUAUUGCAAUUACAAAAUAAAAACAAGACUAGGGAGAAACUGGUUUCUCCCUGCUCAUUCUCACAUAGCGUAACUGUAAAUCCUGGAAAUAAUGCAAGAUACAACACAGGUGAAUUCCAAAAGGUAGCAAGAAAGAAGAACUGAUUUGGGAAGCCAAAACUGGAGGAACAACACAGCAUCAGGGCAUCCUAUGUCUCCCUCCUCAACAGGAGAUGAUGACUCAAACGCAGCACUUCCAAUUCCCAAACCUAGCAACAGAAAGCAGCCCACAUAGGAAGAUUCUUCCCCAGGAGAAGAGUAUCUUUGACAAAAUUGUCAGCCCUAAAUCACCACAAGCAGGAUUGAUUGGACGCUCCACCCACAAUGAGCUGCCAGGGAAAGUGAUCUUCUUUUCCAAUGAGCCUGAGACCCUCUUUUCUACCAAGAAAUUGGAGGUAGGAGGUAGGAGGUAGGCAGGUAGAGCUGGAAGGAAGGACCAAGUCUCAACAAGUGAACUGGCCUUGAGAAGCCUCUUUGAUCCCACAGGCCUGAGACUCCCCUCCUCUGACCAGAAACACUAGAACAGCCAAGGGAUACCCAUGAGAGGAUACCACCACCCCCUCCACCCACAAGAGACACUCACAUUCCCUCAGGCAGCACCAGCAGGGGUGAGUGGAAGCCCCACCUGCACCAGAUAAACCAAGCAGACCAAAAUAACAUCGCAAAGGUUCUGAAAAACUGUCAUUGGGACCAUAGCCCAGAAAAAUAGGCAGAGAGCUGUGUGCUAACCCUAAACAGGGUGACUACCUGGUAAUAUAAAAGAUUUAAGUAGGACCCAGGGUCACAUAAUAUAAUAAAUAAGUGUCCAGCAUAUAAUCAAAAAUCACCUGUCAUAUGAAGAACCAAGAAAAAUCACAACUUGAAUGAAAAAUGACCAUCAAUGGAUAUUAACUUCAUAGUAAAUCAGAUGUUGAAAUUAUCUAACAAGAAUCUUAAAACAACUGUCAUAAAAAUAGUUCAGUAAUCUGUUAUAAAUCUCUAGGAACUAAUGAAAAAAUAGAAAAUCUCAGAAAAUAAUUAGAAGUUACAAAAAAGAACCAAAUGCAAUUUAUAAACCUGAAAAAAUGCACUAAAAAACACCAAACAGCUCACUGGAUAGGCUCCAUAGUAGAGUGGAGAUGAUGGAGGAUACGAUCCGUGAAUCUGAAAACAGAACAGUGGAAUUCACACAAUCGGAAAAAGAACAGACUAAAAAAAAUGCUCAAAAGAGCCUCAGGGACCUUUAAGACAAUAAUAAAAGAUCAAAGCAAUAGACAUGUAGAUCAACGAAACCCAGCAGAAAAACAAUAGUCCCACACGAACAUACCUUCUCAUUUUACAAAAGUAGAGCCAUUCAGUGGAGGAAGAAUAACAUUUUUACCAAAUGCUGCUGGAACAACUGGACAUCUGUAGACAAGUGCAUGAACUUUGUCCCAAACCUCAUCCUUUAAACAAAAAUUAACUCAAAAUGGACUAUGUACAUUUUAUAGUUUUAAAUAUAAAACUGUAAAACAUUUAGAAAAAAUAUAGAAGAAAAUAUUCAGUAUCUAGAGCUAAGCAACAAGUUCUUAGAGUUGACACCAAAUCGUAAUCUGUAAAAAAGAUUGAUAACUUGGGCUUCAUCAUCUGCACUCAAUAAGAAAAAAGUAAUUCAAUUAGCAGAUGGGCAAAAUACAUGAAGAUAUUGCAAUGAAGAAUACAUAUAGACUGAAAAGAAGCACAUGAAGAUGUUCAGCUUUAUAGUCAUCAGGGAAUUGCAAAUUACAACCACAGCACUACAUACCUCUAUGGAAGACUAAAAUAACAAAUGGUGACAACACCAAAUUCUGGUGAGGAUGAAGAGAAACUGAAUCAACACAUACAUUACUGGUGCAAACGUAAGAAUGCAAGAAACAGUUUGAAAACAGUUCAGUAGUUUCUUUUAAAACUAAAUAGGCAAUCACCAUGCAACCUAGCACCUGCACUCUUGGACAAUUAUAUCAGAAAAAUAAAACCUUACAUUCACAUAAAAAUCUGUGUAUGAAUGUUCAUAACAGCUUUAUUUGUAACAGCUAAGAACUGGCAUCAGCCCAGGUGCCAUUCAACAGGUGAACAGUUAAGGACAUGGUGGUCUAUUCAUACCAUGGACUAUUAGCAAUAAAAAGGCAUGAACUAUGCACACAACAACUCCGAUGAAUCACAAAGGCAUUAUCCUUAGUGAACAAAGGAAGUCUUGGAAAACAUACAUAUUGUAUGAUUAUACUUAAGUAACAUUUUUAAGAGAUAAAAAUUGUAGCAACAUAGGUUAGAGAAGUAAGAGGAUGUAAGUUUGGUUAUAAAAGGGUAAUAUAUGAGCCACCCUCGUGGUGAUGAAACUUGACUGUGGUGGUAGAAACACAAACCUACACAUAUGAUACAAUUAUGUAGAACCAAACACACACUCACAUAUGCACUCAUACACAAGCACAAUGAAAACUGGCUGAAUUGGAAUUAGUUUGGUGGAUUAUAUCAAUGUCAAUGACUGUAAUAUUAUACUAUAGAUUAAUAAAAUGUUACCAUUAGUCCUAAAUAAUGUAUGCACAACUUUCUGUAUUUUUUCUUAAAACUGCAUAUGAAUCUAAAUUAUUGCAAUCAAAAUUUUGAAAUAAAAAGAACAGAAGGCUACAUAAAAAGAACAUUCAAAAACCAGAAAAAUAUCUAGAAAAUUACAAAUGAGAUAUUGGUAAUUCAAAUAAAAAAUCAACAGAAAAGUUGAGGCAAAAAUGGAAGGAAAAACGAAUGAUUCAGCAGCUCUUUCCAGGCAGUCAAACAAACAAAUAAUAUAAAACCAGAAAAAGUGAUCCGAGAAAAUAAAGAGAGGAAAUUAUUAGAUACAACAACAAACAUUGCUAGCAUUGAAGACUUCAGUCUCCAGAAUAAACAUUAUAUAUAAAUGCACAGAACAAUGAAUAAGAGAGACCAGCAACAAGGCACACCAUUAUAAUUUUUCAGAAACACUAAAAAUAAAGACAGGAGUCUGAAAUAGUUUAUGUGGAAAAAAAAAAACCCUAGGUCACAUAAAAGAUUAGUAAUCAAUAUGACAUUAUAAUUUUCAUAUAGAAGCUAAAAUAUGUAAAAUAAUAAAAUCUCAAGACCCCAAACUUAACUAUACCAAAAGGAAAGUUAAGGUGGGGAACUGAGUCAUGGAAAAAAACAAAACAAAAACAUAACUUCCUUUUGUUCCCGAAUAGAUAGAUGUAACUUCACAUGCUGACUUUAAUCUUAUGUAAAAUUAGAUUUACUGAGAAAGAGAAGUAUACAUAGUUGACUUCCUCCCACUUCCAUCUUUUCACAUGUAAAGUGUAAAUUCACUGAGUGCUAAUCAAAGCCUCACAGGAAUGAAACCACUUGCCCCAUUGCCUACCCUCCCCAUUUUUUCUUUCUUCCCAUUUUCCCCUUUAAAUAUUGAAGUUCUCAAAAUCCACUUUGGAAAAAGCACAAGACACAAAUCUUAUGUGUCUUGUACUUCUUUUUCCCUGAGCACGUCCUCAACUUUGGCAACAUAAACCUAUAAAUCAAUUGAGAUUUGCAUUGGUCACUUAGUUUACAGAGACAAUCAGGUAAUUGCCUACAAAAUUUCAAGGGGAAAUGAAAUGCAGUCUAGAAUUCUACACUCAGCUAGACUACCAUCAAAUUAAGAAUGGAAUAGUAGAAUUUUUAGACAUUUAUGCUCCCAAAAAAUGUAACCUGCCCUGCAAUCUUUUUUAGGAAGCUGCUAAAGAAUGUGCUUGACUAAAACAAGGCAAUAAGCAAAAGGAAGUCAUAGCAUCCAGAAAAUGGGAUCCAUCAUGCGCACAAAGAAAAGGUGAAGAAAAUUUCCAGGAUGUUCAGAACCCACCAAAAACGAAAGAUUCUGGUCCAGAUCAGAAGAGAGGGAAACACUCUGAAAAAGUCCCUCAAAUACAAAAUUAAACAGAGUUUAAAUGAUGUGCUUGACCACAAUAAAAGGCUUCUUGCUCUGUAAGAUUUCUGGAAUUAAUUAGUGAUAAGCAAAGAUAAAUAUAAGCAAAUCAUCACAACAGAGUGAACACAUUCCAGUAGACCACAUGGAUGAGCUUUGGAAAAUACAGAUAUACGCAUAAUGUAAUCCCUUAAUUUCUGGGAGGCUGGAGGGAGGGAAAGUUUGAGAAGGUAAAAUGUGUGUGUUAAGAGUGGGAGUGGGUAAUAUGGUUAGGCUUUGUGUUCCCACACAAAUCUCAUCUGGAAUUGUAAUCCCCAUAAUCCCCACUUAUCAAGGGAGAAACCAGGUGGAGAUAACUGAAUCAUUGGAGGCAGUUUCCCCCAUGCUAUUCCUCUGAUAGUGAAUUCUCAUGAGAUCCAAUGAUUUUAUAACGGACUCUUCCCCCUUCACUCAGC